GGAUUAGAUACCCUGGUAGUCCAUACCGUAAACGAUGAAUGCUAAGUGUGGAGGGUUUCGCCUUCAGUGCUGCAGCUAACGCAUUAAGCAUUCCGCUGGGGAGUACGGCCGCAAGGCUGAAACUCAAAGGAAUUGACGGGGGCCCGCACAAGCGGUGGAGCAUGUGGUUUAAUUCGAAGCUACGCGAAGAACCUUACCAGGUCUUGACAUACUAUGCAAAUCUAAGAGAUUAGACGUUCCCUUCGGGGACAUGGAUACAGGUGGUGCAUGGUUGUCGUCAGCUCGUGUCGUGAGAUGUUGGGUUAAGUCCCGCAACGAGCGCAACCCUUAUUAUCAGUUGCCAGCAUUAAGUUGGGCACUCUGGUGAGACUGCCGGUGACAAACCGGAGGAAGGUGGGGAUGACGUCAAAUCAUCAUGCCCCUUAUGACCUGGGCUACACACGUGCUACAAUGGAUGGUACAACGAGUUGCGAACUCGCGAGAGUAAGCUAAUCUCUUAAAGCCAUUCUCAGUUCGGAUUGUAGGCUGCAACUCGCCUACAUGAAGUCGGAAUCGCUAGUAAUCGCGGAUCAGCAUGCCGCGGUGAAUACGUUCCCGGGCCUUGUACACACCGCCCGUCACACCAUGAGAGUUUGUAACACCCAAAGUCGGUGGGGUAACCUUUAGGAACCAGCCGCCUAAGGUGGGACAGAUGAUUAGGGUGAAGUCGUAACAAGGUAACCA
rnacentral:rRNA from 1 species